GACGAACGCUGGCGGCGUGCUUAACACAUGCAAGUCGAACGGAAAGGCCCUGCUUUUGUGGGGUGCUCGAGUGGCGAACGGGUGAGUAACACGUGAGUAACCUGCCCUUGACUUUGGGAUAACUUCAGGGAACUGGGGCUAAUACCGGAUAGGAGCUCCUGCUGCAUGGUGGGGGUUGGAAAGUUUCGGCGGUUGGGGAUGGACUCGCGGCUUAUCAGCUUGUUGGUGGGGUAGUGGCUUACCAAGGCUUUGACGGGUAGCCGGCCUGAGAGGGUGACCGGCCACAUUGGGACUGAGAUACGGCCCAGACUCCUACGGGAGGCAGCAGUGGGGAAUAUUGCACAAUGGGCGGAAGCCUGAUGCAGCAACGCCGCGUGCGGGAUGACGGCCUUCGGGUUGUAAACCGCUUUCGCCUGUGACGAAGCGUGAGUGACGGUAAUGGGUAAAGAAGCACCGGCUAACUACGUGCCAGCAGCCGCGGUGAUACGUAGGGUGCGAGCGUUGUCCGGAUUUAUUGGGCGUAAAGGGCUCGUAGGUGGUUGAUCGCGUCGGAAGUGUAAUCUUGGGGCUUAACCCUGAGCGUGCUUUCGAUACGGGUUGACUUGAGGAAGGUAGGGGAGAAUGGAAUUCCUGGUGGAGCGGUGGAAUGCGCAGAUAUCAGGAGGAACACCAGUGGCGAAGGCGGCUCUCUGGGCCUUUCCUGACGCUGAGGAGCGAAAGCGUGGGGAGCGAACAGGCUUAGAUACCCUGGUAGUCCACGCUGUAAACGGUGGGUACUAGGUGUGGGGUCCAUUCCACGGGUUCCGUGCCGUAGCUAACGCUUUAAGUACCCCGCCUGGGGAGUACGGCCGCAAGGCUAAAACUCAAAGGAAUUGACGGGGCCCCGCACAAGCGGCGGAGCAUGCGGAUUAAUUCGAUGCAACGCGUAGAACCUUACCUGGGUUUGACAUGGAUCGGGAGCGCUCAGAGAUGGGUGUGCCUCUUUUGGGGUCGGUUCACAGGUGGUGCAUGGCUGUCGUCAGCUCGUGUCGUGAGAUGUUGGGUUAAGUCCCGCAACGAGCGCAACCCUUGUUCACUGUUGCCAGCACGUUAUGGUGGGGACUCAGUGGAGACCGCCGGGGUCAACUCGGAGGAAGGUGGGGAUGACGUCAAGUCAUCAUGCCCCUUAUGUCCAGGGCUUCACGCAUGCUACAAUGGCUGGUACAGAGAGUGGCGAGCCUGUGAGGGUGAGCGAAUCUCGGAAAGCCGGUCUCAGUUCGGAUUGGGGUCUGCAACUCGACCUCAUGAAGUCGGAGUCGCUAGUAAUCGCAGAUCAGCAACGCUGCGGUGAAUACGUUCCCGGGGCU
rnacentral:rRNA from 1 species